rnacentral:rRNA from 1 species
UACGUAGGGGGCAAGCGUUGUCCGGAUUUAUUGGGCGUAAAGCGCGUGUAGGCGGCCAGGUAGGUCCGCUGUGAAAACCCGAGGCUCAACCUCGGGACGUCGGCGGAAACCAUCUGGCUAGAGUCCGGAAGAGGAGAGUGGAAUUCCCGGUGUAGCGGUGAAAUGCGCAGAUAUCGGGAAGAACACCCGUGGCGAAGGCGGCUCUCUGGACCACAACUGACGCUGAGGCGCGAAGGCCAGGGGAGCAAACGGG